ACCACUGAAUGGUUUCUAAACUAGGCAUGAUGUCAUUUGGAUACUUUUUCGUACAUAUAUAAGGAUGAAAUAAGGCAUUUAAACAUGUUUUUUUUUAUCUUGAUCACUUUUCGCUACUAUAUAUAAAGGACUUAGGUUGAUACGUAGGUAUACUAAAUAUAAAAUAAUAUUAAACAACAUUUUACCUGUCCAACAAUUUAAAUUUGUAAUGUAUAGAGAAUUCACGAGUGCAGGUGUGUGGGGGAAGAAUAAUAUAACGUCAUAUUGGGCCGUACGCAGUUGUUUUCCUUCAAAUAGUAAAAACAUUGGAAUUCCAUUUUACUCCGCAAAAAAGUGAAUAAUUUCAUUUAAAUUACAAUAUUAUAAUUUAUUAGUAUUCUCUGUUUAAAAAGAUGUUAUACAUUUAUUCGUACUUACAAACACACGUACAAUGUAUAUUAAACUGGUUAUUUUUAGGAAUUUAUUCUAAUUUUAUCAGUGACUUCUAUCAUAAAAUGAAAAAUCGUUA